UACGAAGGGGGCUAGCGUUGCUCGGAAUCACUGGGCGUAAAGGGUGCGUAGGCGGGUCUUUAAGUCAGGGGUGAAAUCCUGGAGCUCAACUCCAGAACUGCCUUUGAUACUGAAGAUCUUGAGUUCGGGAGAGGUGAGUGGAACUGCGAGUGUAGAGGUGAAAUUCGUAGAUAUUCGCAAGAACACCAGUGGCGAAGGCGGCUCACUGGCCCGAUACUGACGCUGAGGCACGAAAGCGUGGGGCGCAAACAGG
rnacentral:rRNA from 1 species